AGAUAUGAUGUUUAGCUUUCUUCACCUUCUGGGGGUGCAGAUGAGCAUGGGGUAUCUCUUCCAACCUGCCGGUGAUCGAGUUGUAUAUUCCUUCCCCUAUCUCAGUGGGGCCUGUAUGCUGUCAAUGCUGUAUCAUUUCUUCGAACCUACUGUGAGCCAAGCACAUGACCUCCUCCUGCACACGAUUCAUCGAUAGGACCUCAGCAAGGACUCAGGCAGAGACAGUGGGUGAUUAAGGCCUGCUGACAAAAGACAAAGUUGGCAAACGUUGUCAUCUUGCGCAUGUUAGGACCUUUCACAGGAGUACAAUUCCAUAGAAAAACGAGUGAAGACUGAUGAAUUGAAAUACAUUUAUUUCAAUGCAAGAAAUCUGACAGGUAAGGCAGAUGAACUGAGGGCAUGGAUGGGAACAUGGGACUGGGUUAUAACAGCUAUU